UGGAUGGGUGAGUAUAUGGGUAGAUAAAUGGAUGAGUGGAUGGGUGAAUGGAUGAUAGGUGGUGGAUGGUUGAGUGGGUGGAUUCAUGAUGGAUGGAUGGAUGGAUGGAUGGAUGGAUGGAUGGAUGAGUGGAUGGAUAAUAGGUUGAUGGGUGGAUAGGUAGAUGAGUGAAUAGAUAGAUAUAGAUCAGUGGGAGGAUUGGAAAGUAGGUGAAUGAAUGGAUGGCAGAUAGAUGGAUCAAUUACAGAUGGAUGGAUGCAUGGAAUAGAUAGGUGGAUGGGUGGUGGCUAGAAGGUGCCUGAGUCUGCACAUCACUGCACUGAGAAGGCAAAUGAGUACAUUAUACUAUUAGCACCAAACCCCAAGCUUCAGUAUUUAGAUUUUAUUUACUAAGAUGCUAUUAGAAGUUGGAUGUUUUCAUCCCAGUACAUUUUUAACACAUCAAAUCAUUUAUGAGCAUAGGAUGAUGAGGGUGUGAAAGCUUUGUAAUAUUUUCAGCAGAAAUGCGUGAUACAUUUGAAUCCAUUGAGGUCUGGAGGGAGGGUAUCAGCCAGAGUAGCAAGGCGGUUUUGUUUAUUUGUUUGUUUUUUUGUUUGUUUGUUUUAUGAAGGAGAGUAUCUGUUAUCUUGCAGUAUUAUCAAUGCAGUUGUAAAUUGAAUCUAAAGUGGUAUUUAAAACUGUCAAACAAUUUUUAAUCUGUUUGUAUAUCUUAUUAUAGAUCACAAGUAACAUCUAAAUAAAAUUACAC
rnacentral:lncRNA from 1 species